GGGGCCGAUACUGGAUUCGACGGGAUUCACGAACUCUUAGGUGCAUGCCGAGGUGCGGUAGGCCUCGUAAAAAAGCCGCAAACUAGUAGUCGCAAACGACGAAACAUACGCACUCGCUGCCUAAUAAGCAGUAGAGCGCUCUUCCCCUCACGCAUGCCUAUAAGCUGAGACUCUGGAAGAUCACCCCUAAUAGGAUCGCAUGGCGGCUUUGUCUGGAGCCAAGAUGCUAAAACCAAUCAGACUCGCCCGACGAUAGCCUGCCAGCUGGCGCUCAUAGGGUUAACUAAAUAACUGGAUAAGCAUGUAGUACCGACGAUCUAGGUUUUUCGGACGGGGGUUCAAAUCCCCCCGGCUCCACCA
rfam:Rheinheimera sp. A13L DRAFT__contig00012, whole genome shotgun sequence.